UGUAGAUUAGACAGCGCUUUGUUCCUGAGGACAAAAGUCCACCUCCACUAACGACUCACAAAGCUCUUGGAACAGGAUAACCUCAGGGAUUUGAUUAAGGAGAAGCUCUUAAUGCACCAAAGUCUAAGUUAAACAAAGCCAAAAACUCGCUCAGGAGGUUCCUCAGCCACAGCUUGUCUACGAGCAGUUUGCUUUGCCAUGCAGGGACAAGGAGAAGCAGCUUUGAAGAGUGAGAGGUUUAUCUGGUUCUUGGGAUGAAAGGAGACUGUGUGGUUGCAUCCAUUGAAAACCAAACUCGCACUGGCUUGGAAGUCAGAUUUUCUGUCAAAGGAUGCUCAGGGAAAUGAUCACAGAUCAUGAAAGUGCAUUGGAGUAUCUGAACUCCUGUGUGGAUGCCCUUAUUCAGAAUUAAAGCACCUCAUUCCAGCUGGCUUGCUUCAUUCUGAAAGCAAAAUGCAAUAAAUUGAAUUACUUACUUUCAAUCUAAAGAAUUUUAUUUAAUUUUCCUUUUGUUUACAGUACGGACAAGCACAAGCUGGCCUGGACAAGCGGAAAGGACAAGCUCAUAGCCUGAGGUGCUGUGUUCCCUCAAGUUCUGUAAACUGAAUUAAAUUACCGUCCAACUGAGAACCUGAAAACACACAAACAGCAAAAAAAUCGUUUUUACUUACCUGAUUCUAAGGAGAUGCAAUUAAUCAGAAAUACCUUCGUGUGUCGCAAGAUGGGAAUGCAUUUUCCAGGAAGUUUUAAGCAGCACAUUAAUAGCAUCGAAUUUCAUGGCCAUGUCAAUCAAGACAAGUAGCCCAUGUUCCCCUCUUGGCACUUUCCUGCAUACAAUUGCCACUCAAUUACCACCAGCCAUUAAUCAAGAGCACAUUUUCAUGCAAAAAGCCGGUGGCUGAGGGCUGUUAUUUCUUUCUGUUGCCUUGUGACUUCAAUGCUUCACAGCCGAUUCUGUUAAUGAAUGGCACUCGAUGGAAAUAACACCGGGCUCUGCCCUUUUGCCUUGGUGGCUGAAAGUCGGAGCCGGAGAAGAGUGGAGGUCAAAAAAAGGGAGAUCCUGGAGGCAGAAGAGUUGUUUACGUGGCAAGACACAGGUUUGGCUCCAGACUGCCCAAGAGAAGCCAGGAGAUCUCAGCUCAGCUCCUGGUAGCUCACUGGCCCACCACAAACUGUGCCAAAGGUCUUUGCACGAGCGAGGCCCAGAACCCCAUGGAACCAAACUAGUGUGGAGGUGGGGUGCCUGUGCCCCCCAAGUACCAUCACCAACAAGCCAGAGUGGGAGAACAAGCAGAGAAGCUGCUUGAGCCCCUUGACCAGCUGAUUGCACAGCUUUAGGCCACGGAUUCACCCUUCAAACCCAUCACCAACACAACCAUCCGUUCUGCAGAGAUCAAAGAGCGUCUUGGCUACCGCAAACCCCAGUAAACGUGGGCCUGCAG
rnacentral:lncRNA from 1 species